UGUGAGGUUACUGGCCAGUGUGAGA
rnacentral:piRNA from 1 species